GACGAACGCUGGCGACGUGCCUAAUACAUGCAAGUAGAACGCUGAAGGAGGAGCUUGCUUCUCUGGAUGAGUUGCGAACGGGUGAGUAACGCGUAGGUAACCUGCCUGGUAGCGGGGGAUAACUAUUGGAAACGAUAGCUAAUACCGCAUAAUAGUAGAUGUUGCAUGACAUUUGCUUAAAAGGUGCAAUUGCAUCACUACCAGAUGGACCUGCGUUGUAUUAGCUAGUUGGUGGGGUAACGGCUCACCAAGGCGACGAUACAUAGCCGACCUGAGAGGGUGAUCGGCCACACUGGGACUGAGACACGGCCCAGACUCCUACGGGAGGCAGCAGUAGGGAAUCUUCGGCAAUGGACGGAAGUCUGACCGAGCAACGCCGCGUGAGUGAAGAAGGUUUUCGGAUCGUAAAGCUCUGUUGUAAGGGAAGAACGAGUGUGAGAGUGGAAAGUUCACACUGUGACGGUAUCUUACCAGAAAGGGACGGCUAACUACGUGCCAGCAGCCGCGGUAAUACGUAGGUCCCGAGCGUUGUCCGGAUUUAUUGGGCGUAAAGCGAGCGCAGGCGGUUAGAUAAGUCUGAAGUUAAAGGCUGUGGCUUAACCAUAGUACGCUUUGGAAACUGUUUAACUUGAGUGCAAGAGGGGAGAGUGGAAUUCCAUGUGUAGCGGUGAAAUGCGUAGAUAUAUGGAGGAACACCGGUGGCGAAAGCGGCUCUCUGGCUUGUAACUGACGCUGAGGCUCGAAAGCGUGGGGAGCAAACAGG
rnacentral:rRNA from 1 species